rnacentral:rRNA from 1 species
AUUGAACGCUGGCGGCAGGCCUAACACAUGCAAGUCGAGCGAGCGGCGGACGGGUGAGUAAUGUCUGGGAAACUGCCCGAUGGAGGGGGAUAACUACUGGAAACGGUAGCUAAUACCGCAUACUAUCAGAUGAGCCCAGAUGGGAUUAGCUAGUAGGUGGGGUAAUGGCUCACCUAGGCGACGAUCCCUAGCUGGUCUGAGAGGAUGACCAGCCACACUGGGACUGAGACACGGGCCAGACUCCGACGGGAGGCAGCAGGGGGGAAUAUUGCACAAUGGGCGCAAGCCUGAUGCAGCCAUGCCGCGUGUGUGAAGAAGGCCUUCGGGUUGUAAAGCACUUUCAGCGGGGAGGCGUUACUCGCAGAAGAAGCACCGGCUAACUCCGUGCCAGCAGCCGCGGUAAUAC